CAGGUCUACCUGCCUUCUGCAUUACUUAUCACUAAUGAAAUAGGCAUGAAACUGUGGAGGUUCAGGUAUUGUGUGGAAGAGAAUGGCAAGCAGGAUAAUGCAGGCCCUAUUAAAAAAAAUCACCUGCCAUGGAAAAGUGAUACUUCCUGGAGACCACCACCAGACCCGGGCCAGGGGAAGCGGACCCUCUAGAAGACUACAAAGGUCUGCAAAUGGCCCAUCAUACAAAGCCAACUGAGCAACUCGACACCUGUCCCUGUUUGCAAGUGUCUGGGGCGUGCUGUAGCCUCCUCUCAGUGCAUUCUCCUCAGCAAUCAGCGCUUCCAGCUCUGGUGUGGCUCCUCCUGUUACCAACGUCCGUAUCAGUGUGAGGAUAUUGUCAUUGAAGUAUGUCUGCAAAGAUAAAAGAAAGCUCUUUAAGCAAACACCAUUAAAGUCACAACUGAAGACAUCCAAAUUACAACUUUUCUGGGUUUCUGCUGUUUAAAGUUCUUGGCUGUCUCUUCAAAUAAUUUUACAUAGAAAAUGAAAAGACAGCAGCCUCCAAUUACUCUAUUUUCUUCUAUCCCAUUAGGCUCCUACACUAGAUCCUGCCUUUUAAACACCAAUUCAAGCUGUUUUUUAUUAAAGAACAAAAAUUUGAAUGA